CAAAACAUUGUUUUGAUAAGUACUGUCAUAUUUCGGUUGCAGGUUUUCACUAAAUACCAAGCGGAAAAACUAGAUGGCGUUGAGCGUCAAUGAUAAAUAUUACGAGUGAUAAGUUAAAGGGUCUACUCUGUUUAGUAUUUUAAAGGAUUUUUCGUCAACAAUUAAGCGGGUUUCGCCUUGUCAGCUGCUGAACCAGUAGCCUGCAUUCCUGCUAUCAAUGUACCACAAGGGAUGCUGACACUUUAAGAAGACAAACAGUAACCACUAUGCCCGAGACAUGAACAUCGCCAUUCUAUUCAGAGUCUUCAUCUACUAUGUGUUGCAAACUAUCAGCCCUUAGCAUCCCAUGUUUCCAGAUUUUAAAGCUUCUCUGCUUAACCAAUCAUCAUCCAUACACUUCAGCUCUUCAUUGUGGCUUCUCUUCCUCUCUUCUUAGCCUGCUGAAUGCCAACAGGCAUACAGGUUCGCCAUUUCCUUACCAUGAAAUAGAAAAUAUUGUUAAUCAUGCUGCCAAAUCUUCGUACGAGUCAUGCAGUUAUAGAUUCCUUGUGGGAUUUCAUUGCAACAUCUACCCAGGCUGAAAAGGGCAUCCUACCAGUUGUUUGGACCAUACCUGCCUCGCCGUCUUCGCCUCGCCUUCCUCGCCUCAUCGUCUUCGCCUCGCCUUCCUCGCCUCAUCGUCUUCGCCUCGCCUUCCUCGCCUCAUCGUCUUCGCCUCGCCUUCCUCGCCUCAUCG